ensembl:lncRNA
GCGGGGGUGCUCCUUCCAGGUUUGAGAGGGGCGGGGAGUUGGAGCGAUGAGGUAAUUGGAGCUGUGACCGGUCGGUGCUUGCGCGCCUCCCCUGCUCCCGGCUCUCUGCACCUAGUUGGAGCGACCGAAUGACAGCGGGGUGCAACUCAGGCAAUCUGGGGGGCUCCCCCGCCCCAGAGGUGUCAGGCUUCAGCUCCGAGCCGGUGAAAUACUCAAGGAGGCGGGGAAGCUGGCUAAUUCUAAUCCCAACUGGCCCUGGGUCCCGGCGCUCGGAGAAGCGUCGGAAGGAGCUCGCUCCGAUCCCCGGCUGCACUUUCGCCCUCCAAACCGAGUCGCUUCGGCGAUCGGGAACCCAGACCCGGGGCCGCGGGGGCUGCCUCGGCGUGCAACUCGCCAAAGUUUUAAGGGUCCCCGUGAUGGCCCACGCGUCCUCACCUUUCCUGCUCGGGAGAGCCAGCGACCACCGGCCCUCCCUCCUGUCUGUUUCUGCACGUCCGGAAAUCUGCUGUGGGCUUUGAACUAUUCCGCUGUGGCCGUGGUAGACGACCCGCGGGCUCCUCUCGCGGCUAAUUCGGGAUCAUUAAUUUAAUCGGAAGUGAGGUAACCGUGUAGGAGAUAGAGAAAGUAAACGGAGCGUUAAAUAGCAGUUCUUGUGAAUCCACGCCGAAGAACUUCCUCUGGGUUUAAUUGCUAAGUGCGGUUCUCAGCUCCUUCGCCUCGCCCGCGUCCCCUCCGCCCGUCCGCCGCCGGGUGACUCCGCAUGGAGGGAUCCUCUCUGCACCUUGCCAACAGGUGUGGCACCUGGAGGGAGAGCGGGCGCAUCCCUACGAGGGCCGCUCAGAGGGCCGCUCACCGAGGCGCUGUCCUUGCGGCAGAUAAUUCUGCAAGACCAGUAGGUGUUGGGGCAGCGUUUGACUUGCUUCAGGUGCUUGGAACUGGGUCUAGAAAUCUGAUCCCUCCGUUUCUCCCUGGAAGACACCAGUGUUGACUGUAAGCUGUGUGUGUGUGAGAGAGACCUUUUCGCUGAGUUUACUUAUGACCUAACGGUUAGUCACCAAUUGAAGCAGGAUACAGAAUCACCGAGAAAAACGUGUCAGCUUUUAAACAACUCUAGAUUGUAGAGCCACCGCGCUUCAAAAAUAAAAAUAAGCACACUCGCGAAGAAGGUAAUACAGCCCCAGACAUAUUUUUUUCUCACAUUUUGACAUGCCAGGCGCAUAGACAUGACUACUUAAAUAGAACUACUAUUGUUCACUCUUACUCGUUUCUACAGCUUUUUUUCUUUUCUUAUCUCUCUUUCCAUUUAAAAAUCAGUGAUCCUUAGGUUUCAACCUGAGGUUGUGCGACAGUGACAUUGCUGGUCUCCGUACAGCCUCUAGUGGACAGUUAACAUCAGUUUCCUGCAAAGGCUGCUGGUGAUGUUUAUGUCCACAGACAUUAUCAAGGUGAAGGGUGAGAUUCAGAACGCAACCAGAGAAGGAGGACACUGCUGUGAUGCACAAAAUCCAACUCUACAAGACCUUGGUCAUGGCAGUCCUCACACUUGGGUCCUUAUAAUGCAAGGUUUUGGAGUCUCUGGUUCGUGGCUGUUUGGGGAACUGGUUGAUAUUCUUUAUAGAUUGGAGAUAAAGGCGAAUGGGAAUGAUUCCUAUGAUCCACAUUUGAUUAUCUGGCCAAUAUCAUCGGGGACAAUUGAAGGUUUACAGCUCAAGGCCUUGAAAGAAAGAAAAAACUACAUUUGGGAUGAAUUCACAUACAGAGAGUUUCCAUCUGAGAGCCUGUUUGGCUGCUCUAAAAAUGUCGAUUAACAUCAAGAUUCCAUUUUAAGAGUUCAGUUGACACUGUUUGAAAUGAAAACAAGAGCUAGACAUAAACAAUUGUUUUAUGAGGAAGUGUUGAACAUUGCUUGUGUGAGAGAGCAAAAAUCGUAUGCUGUUGAUUUUACCUUUCCUUUGGAAGACACCUUUAGGAUUGUUCUU